rnacentral:RNase_P_RNA from 1 species
UGGUGCAACAGGUGAUAGCUUGAAUUGUUCAAGAGGAAAGUCCGGGCUGCCGUAAGACGAGGUUCCAUCUAACUGAUGGCCGCAGUAAUGUGAGGGAAAGUGCAACAGAAAGUAGACUGCCAAUUUACCCCAAGGGUACUUCUUUGUACUUUAGGACACUGUAGAUUGGUAACGGUGAAAGGGUGGUGUAAGAGACCACCAGGCUCCUUGGUAACAAGGAGCGCUUGUAAACCCAACCUGGCAGCAAGAAACAGAUGGUUAGAGUCUUACACCUGCUAUUGUUUUGCUAAAGAUGCUUCGUAAGAAUCAUAUGAGAUUAAUUAUCACCCUAGACAGAACCCGGCUUAUGUUGUGCCACCUU